UACGUAGGGUGCAAGCGUUGUCCGGAAUUAUUGGGCGUAAGGAGCGUGUAGGCGGUUUGGUAAGUCUGCCGUGAAAACCCGGGGCUCAACCCCGGGCGUGCGGUGGAUACUGCCAGGCUAGAGGGUGGUAGAGGCGAGUGGAAUUCCCGGUGUAGCGGUGAAAUGCGCAGAUAUCGGGAGGAACACCAGUAGCGAAGGCGGCUCCCUGGGCCAUUCCUGACGCUGAGACGCGAAAGCGUGGGGAGCGAACAGG
rnacentral:rRNA from 1 species